CAAUGCACGAGUCUUUUUUCUUCAGCCAGAUUAUUCUCCACGAUGUUACAGGGUGUUAAUGUUUGAUCAGCAUAAAAUAUGAGGGACAAAAAAAAUUGUUAUACCAUUAUCACUGGGAGUUCUUGACGAAGGGAUUUAACUUGGGUUCUUUAAGGGAGCGUUAAGGGUUUCUUUACCCUCGUUCUCCUGCAAUUCAAAAAAAAAAAAAAAAAAAAAAAACCUUGUUAGUUGAGUGGCAUCCCACAAUCGAUACAGCAGUACCAUGGAAAAUCUACGCGGACUUAUACUAUGUCCAGUAUAUGCUAAUGUAUUGUUACUGGACACCCGAUAGAUUUACACUGUUAAUUUACCAAAGGGUGUUCCACUUGGUCGGUGAAGAAUCGAUAGUGCUAUUGGCCUGAAGUGCUGGCACGUGGUCUGACAGACCCAAUGGUUGUACGUUUUUUAUGGCAAAAGAAAGAAGGCGAAACCGCUGCUGACAUCGGGCACGAGAGAGUUCCUUGGACUUAGUGGUACAUCCGGUAUGAGAGAGUGCCGCGGACUUCGAGAUACCUCAGGAACUAGACUAUUCCGUGGAGAACGUCCUAUAUCCGGGACCAAGCUAUUCCUCG